rnacentral:rRNA from 1 species
CCUACGGGUGGCAGCAGUGGGGAAUAUUGCACAAUGGGGGAAACUCUGAAGCAGCGACGCCGCGUGAGUGAUGAAGGAAUUCGGUAUGGAAAGCUCUAUCAGUAGGGAAGAAAAUGACGGUACCUGAGUAAGAAGCCACGGCUAACUACGUGCCAGCAGCCGCGGUAAUACGUAGGGAGCAAGCGUUAUCCGGAUUUACUGGGUGUAAAGGGGGCGUAGACGGCAGGGCAAGUCUGGAGUGAAAGGCGGGGGCUCAACCCCCGGACUGCUCUGGAAACUGUACGGCUGGAGUGCAGGAGAGGUAAGUGGAAUUCCUAGUGUAGCGGUGAAAUGCGUAGAUAUUAGGCGGAACACCAGUGGCGAAGGCGGCUUACUGGACUGUAACUGACGUUGAGGCUCGAAAGCGUGGGGAGCAAACAGGAUUAGAUACCCCUGUAGUC